rnacentral:rRNA from 1 species
UAAUACGUAGGGGCCAAGCGUUAUCCGGAUUUACUGGGCGUAAAGCGCAUGUAGGCGGUCGAUCAAGUCGGAUGUGAAAGCUCCUGGCUUAACUGGGAGAGGUCAUUCGAAACUAGUCGGCUGGAGGGUGGUAGAGGAGAGCGGAAUUCCAGGUGUAGCGGUGAAAUGCGUAGAUAUCUGGAGGAACACCAGUGGCGAAAGCGGCUCUCUGGACCAUUCCUGACGCUGAGAUGCGAAAGCCAGGGGAGAGAACGGGAUUAGAAACCCCGGUAUUCCUGGCCGUAAACGAUGUCAACUAGGCGUAGGAGGUUAUAAACCCCUUCUGUGCUGUAGCAAACGCGUUAAGUUGACCGCCUGGGGACUACGGCCGCAAGGCUAAAACUUAAAUGAAUUGACGG